rnacentral:SRP_RNA from 1 species
AUCGGGCUUAGUAACGUGGGCUUAUGAUCUGUGUGGGGACAAUAAGUUGAUGGAACAUUGGACCAGUUUCCGUGCAAUCAUAGGUGCGGUGUUACAUAUUCUGGCUUUGUCCAAUUCUAAAUUGAGUGGGUCAGUGUCUUCGGCCCAACAGAGGGACCAUUCACUCUGGUUUCAAUUGGACCGUCCUCUUU